GGCCUAUUAGGUCUCGUAAUUGGAAUGAGAACAAUUUAAAUACCUUAACGAGGAACAAUUAGAGGGCAAGUCUGGUGCCAGCAGCCGCGGUAAUUCCAGCUCUGAUAGUAUCUAUUAAAGUUGUUGCAGUUAAAAAGCUCGUAGUUUGAAACUUGGGUGCGUAGGGGCGGUCUCUUUUAGAGUACUACCCUGAAACAUCUUUCUUUGGUGUAAACUCUUUAUUCACUUAAGGAGUGUAAACCAAACAUUUACUUUGAAAAAGUUAGAGUGUUCAAAGCAGGCCUUUGCUCGAAUAUAUUAGCAUGGAAUAAUAGAAUAGGACGUAUGGUUCUAUUUUGUUGGUUUCUAGGACCGUCGUAAUGAUUAAUAGGGACGGUCGGAGGCAUCAGUAUUCAGUUGUCAGAGGUGAAAUUCUUGGAUUUACUGAAGACUAACUACUGCGAAAGCAUUUGCCAAGGACGUUUUCAUUAAUCAAGAACGAAAGUUAGGGGAUCGAAGACGAUCAGAUACCGUCGUAGUCUUAACCGUAAACUAUGCCGACUAGGGAUCGGAGGGCGUUAUAAUAACCUCUCCGGCACCUUACGAGAAAUCAAAGUUUUUGGGUUCUGGGGGGAGUAUGGUUGCAAGGCUGAAACUUAAAGGAAUUGACGGAAGGGCACCACCAGGAGUGGAGCCUGCGGCUUAAUUUGACCCAACACGGGGAAACUCACCAGGUCCAGACACAAUAAGGAUUGACAGAUUGAGAGCUCUUUCAUGAUUUUGUGGGUGGUGGUGCAUGGCCGUUCUUAGUUGGUGGAGUGAUUUGUCUGCUUAAUUGCGAUAACGAACGAGACCUUAACCUGCUAAAUAGCUGUAACAAUAGAUUAUUGUUUUGGCAGCUUCUUAGAGGGACUAUCGAUUUUCAAGUCGAUGGAAGUUUGAGGCAAUAACAGGUCUGUGAUGCCCUUAGACGUUCUGGGCCGCACGCGCGCUACACUGACGGAGCCAGCGAGUCUAACCUGUGCCGAGAGGUAUGGGUAAUCUUGUGAAACUCCGUCGUGCUGGGGAUAGAGCAUUGCAAUUAUUGCUCUUCAACGAGGAAUUCCUAGUAAGCGCAAGUCAUCAGCUUGCGUUGAUUACGUCCCUGCCCUUUGUACACACCGCCCGUCGCUACUACCGAUUGAAUGGCUUAGUGAGGCUUCCGGAUUGAUUAGCUGGAGAGGGCAACUUUUCUGGUUGAACGAGAAGCUAGU
rnacentral:rRNA from 1 species